GGAAAAAUUGCGGAAAAAAACUGAAGAAAAAUGGUGGGGGAGGGUAAUUAAAAUAGAGGAAAUCGUGGGUAUUCAGAGAGAGAAGCGUGUACUAUACAAAAUCGUGACGAUACGGUUCCAAAAAUAAAGCCUACAAUAAAUGAGGCUAUAAUUAAAGACUUAAUUUGAAUUAUGGUACAUAAAUUGAAAUUUGGUAUGCUUAAAUGUAAUAAACACACACCUUAACAAGGGAGGUAAUAAGGUUUGCUAUAUGGUAUAGAUAUGUAAAAACCCCAAUAUCUUAAGCCAAUAGCAUAUCUUAACAGCUAAACCACAACACACAAAAAACAAGAGAAGGCUACCAGUAUCUCCAAUUCAAAACCCUCUGCUGAUUUCAGGUUCUCAACAUUUCAAAGAAAACCAAAGAUAAUUUCAGCACCUGAUGCUAAUGAAUCAGUUAAUAAAAGAUCUAAAUUAUUGUAUCUCUAUCAAUAACAGAAAUCAUUCAACCUUAUAUGAGAUCAACGAGCAGAACACAUAGGAAUGUUAACACCAUAUCACCUCGAUUAACAACUUACAACAUGCUCAACCAAAACUAAAUUGUACAAAGGAAUCACAUGGAAAUAAAAAGAACGAACAGAUCGGUAGAAAACACAAUGGGGUGAUCUCCAUAUUCCAAUUCUUCAUUUUUCACUUUUCAUUCCUCAAAUUUAUUUUACACAACCGAAGGGAUUACAGGAUCGUGUACCUGGAAGUAGGAGAAAGAAACAGAGGAAUGAGGUAUCAGCAAGAAACCACAACAAAGCAACACCAAUUUCAGUAGAACAAACCGAACCAAAGAAAGUUGAUACGAAACAGUAGAAGAAACAGUCCCCAAAACGAGUUGAGAAUAUAACAACUUCAAUCCAAGCUUUUGAAAACCAGAUUUAAAUGCAUCACAAGCAUUCAAAGAACCAAAUAUGGCUUCAGCAAACUGAAAAUCCAGAAAUCAAGAGGAAAACCAAUGGAACAGUGCAGCCAUUGUUUUCUUUGAUUUUUCUCUCUAAGAUCUCUUAGGCUUGCCUUGAAAGGCAAGGUUAGAAUGCUUUUAUAGGCAAGCCAGGUAGGGCAACUUCAGAAUUAGCUUAUCCCCUUUUACCCAUUUUUACCCUUGAUUCCUCCUAGCUAUUUUACUCUCUUAACCCCCUUUUAAAAUAUCUGAAACCUCUCUCUUCCCUCCCAUGACAUCCCACCCUUAUCCUCUAGAAGCCUCCCUAUAACAGAAAAUAUUCCCCACCCCAAAUACCUAAGCUGCCCCUCAUACCCUGUUUAUUACAUAGCCAGCCAAACAGAUUUGGGAUCCAAAACCUGGGCGCUUUUGAGUUGGAUUACAAAUGACCCAAGAGGGCCUAAACGAAUUCUAAGGUAGCCCACAAUUACCAGUCAAACAAAUUCGACCCAGUCCCUCAACGAAAUCAAAUGACAGUGACACGAAUAAACAAACUGAACAAUUAUUGAUUUGUUACCUGGUCAUUCAUGACUUAAAAAGGAGAUAAAAAUCGACAAACCAAAAUCAAACGAACAGAAAUGGCUCUAAAUUCUUUUAGCAAAUUACAGACAGGUUAAUUACUGGUCACACGAAAUUAAAUGAAAGAAAUGAAAAAAAUGAAAGAGAUAUGGAGAAGAUGAAGGACGGAAAAAUGAACAAAAAUAAAGAAAUGAGAGAGGAAAUGGAAAUACCCCCAUCGGACGGUCGGAUAGCUAGCUUGAAAAAGGUUCGGUGUUCUUCCGAUUUGGACCAGAAUGGGUUUUACUCACAUGUUCUCACGUGAAAACACAGGCGUAAAACCCCUUCCGACUUCAAAUCUUCAGCAUGACCUCUGAUAUUCACUUUGGAGACUUGGGGCUAACUUCUUUGAAUCAAAUUUCGAAGGGUUCUGGAGUUGUUUGAGGGAAACAGACAUGGGAUUUGGCAUGAGGAAGGGCUGGUGGCUACUUGACAUCGAUUUGGUGGUGGUUGGUGGUGGUUGGUGGCGGAUUGCCGGUGAUAAUGGCGAUUUAGGGUUUAGAGGAGGCGGAGAAGAUAAAGCCAUGGUGUUGGGAAAACUGAACUGUCUCUACAGGUUUGGACAUUUUUAAGUGGAAUUGGAGAUGUAUCUACGAG
rnacentral:lncRNA from 1 species